rnacentral:lncRNA from 1 species
CCAAGGAUUCAAUUUUUGUUUAAAUCAAACUAAGUUUAAUUUUGGACCCUUUGGACCUUAAUGUAGACCAAUUUUAAAACGGGACCAAAAAUUAGGAAUCUACAUACACAGUUAGAUUGGGCAUAUCAAAGAACCCCAAUUAUUCAAUUUUUGAUGAAAUCAAACAAAGUUUAAUUUUGGACCCUUUGGGCCCCUUAUUCCUAAACUGUUGGGACCAAAACUUCCAAAAUCAAUCCCAACCUUCCUUUUAUGGUCAUAAACCUUGUGUUUAAAUUUCAUAGAUUUCUAUUUACUUAUACUAAAGUUAUGGUGCGAAAAACCAAGAAAAAUGCUUAUUUGGGCCCCUUUUUGGCCCCUAAUUCCUAAACUGUUCGGACCUCAACUCCCAAAAUCAAUCCCAACCUUCCUUUUGUGGUCAUAAACCUUGUGUUUAAAAUUUCAUUGAUUUCUAUUUACUUAUACUAAAGUUAUUGUGCGAAAACCAAGAAUAAUGCUUAUUUGGGCCCUUUUUGGCCCCUAAUUCCUAAACUGUUGGAACCAAAACUCCCAAAAUCAAUCCCAACCUUCCUUUUGUGGUCAUAAACCUUGUGUCAAAAUUUCAUAGAUUUCUAUUUACUUAAACUAAAGUUAUAGUGCGAAAACCAAGAAAAUGCUUAUUUGGGCCCUUUUUGGCCCCUAAUUCCUAAAAUGUUGGGACCAAAACUUCCAAAAUCAAUCCCAACCUUCCUUUUGUG